rnacentral:rRNA from 1 species
UCAAGAAUAUUCCGCAAUGCCCGCAAGGGUGACGGAGCGACGCCGCGUGAUCGAUGAAGCUUUUCGGAGUGUAAAGAUCUUUUAUAAUGGACGAACAAAUGACGGUACAUUAUGAAUAAGGGGCUGCUAAUCUCGUGCCAGCAGCAGCGGUAAUACGAGAGCCCCAAGCGUUACCCGGAUUUAUUGGGCGUAAAGCGUGCGCAGGCGGUUUGUUAAGUUAAAAGUUAAAGCCUGAGGCUCAACCUCAGAUAAGCUUUUAAUACUGACAAACUAGAGGCUGGGAGAGGCAAGCGGAAUUACUGGUGUAGGGGUAAAAUCCGUUAAUAUCAGUAGGAACACCAAAUGCGAAGGCAGCUUGCUGGAACAGUUCUGACGCUGUAGCACGAAAGCGUGGGGAGCGAAGAGGAUUAGAUACCCUCGUAGUCCACGCCGUAAACUAUGGGCACUAGACAUUGGAAGUAUCGACCCUUUCAGUGUCGCAAUAUUUAAGCUAACGCGUUAAGUGCCCCGCCUGGGGAGUACGGCCGCAAGGCUA